rnacentral:rRNA from 1 species
GACGAACGCUGGCGGCGUGCUUAACACAUGCAAGUUGAACGGGCGAUGUUGGAAGCUUGCUGAAGACAUCGUUAGUAGCGGACGGGUGAGUAACGCAUGAGGACCCGCCUUGCGGAGGGGGACAACAGUUGGAAACGGCUGCUAAUACCCCGUAUGCCGAGAGGUGAGAGGGAUGGGAACAUCCCGCCGUGAGAGGGACUCAUGUCCUAUCAGCUUGUUGGUGGGGUAACGGCCCACCAAGGCGACGACGGGUAGCCGGCCUGAGAGGGCGACCGGCCACACUGGAACUGAGAUACGGUCCAGACUCCUACGGGAGGCAGCAGUGGGGAAUAUUGGGCAAUGGGGGAAACCCUGACCCAGCGACGCCGCGUGAGGGAAGAAGGCCUUCGGGUCGUAAACCUCUUUUGUACGGGAAGAAGAAGACGACGGUACCGUACGAAGAAGUCCCGGCUAACUACGUGCCAGCAGCCGCGGUAAUACGUAGGGGACGAGCGUUGUCCGGAAUUACUGGGCGUAAAGGGCGCGCAGGCUGCGCGUCGAGUCGGCUGUGAAAGAUCCGGGCUCAACCCGGUGAAGCGGUCGAGACCGACGUGCUGGAGUGCUGCAGAGGCAAGUGGAAUCCCCGGUGUAGCGGUGAAAUGCGUAGAUAUCGGGAAGAACACCGGUGGCGAAGGCGACUUGCCGGGCAGCAACUGACGCUGAGGCGCGAAAGCCAGGGGAGCGAACGGGAUUAGAUACCCCGGUAGUCCUGGCCGUAAACGAUGAAUGCUAGGUGUGCGUGCAGAGAUGCAUACGUGCCGGAGUUAACGCGAUAAGCAUUCCGCCUGGGGAGUACGGUCGCAAGAUUGAAACUCAAAGGAAUUGACGGGGGCCCGCACAAGCGGUGGAGCACGUGGUUUAAUUCGAUGCAACGCGCAGAACCUUACCUGGGCUUGACAUCCACGGAACCCUCCCGAAACGGA